UACGAGGGGGGCUAGUGUUGUUCGGAAUCACUGGGCGUAAAGGGAGCGUAGGCGGAUGUUUAAGUUGGAUGUUUAAAACCGGGGCCCAACCUCGGAGCGGCAUCCAAAACUGGGCAUCUUGAAUAGGUCAGAGGCUGGUGGAAUUGGAGGUGUAGCGGUGGAAUGCGUAGAGAUCUCCAAGAACACCUAUUGCGAAGGCAGCCAGCUGGGACCAUAUUGACGCUGAGGCUCGAAAGCAUGGGGAGCAAACAGG
rnacentral:rRNA from 1 species